AAUUUCAAUCAUCCGGAAUCAUUGAUGUUUAUCGUUUCAGUUCGAUCCUAAGGGCUGUCGUGGAGGAGUGCGGGAAUGCCGAUGACCGUGUCUCUACUUCUGAGGCUGCCAAACAAUCUGCAUCACCGGAUGCCGAUGACCGUGUCUCCAUGCCAGGGUUUCUCUGGGAUGAAUCCGGUUAACCAAAGUAGCUGGAGUAAAGUUCAGUGUGAAAUGAUCCAGCCUUCUUAUCCUUUGCCGACUACUUUCGGCCAAGGUUCUUCCUGCUCGAGAAUGUGAGGAUCUUCAUGUCUUUCAACAAAGGACAGGCAUUCUGACAAACUCUAGUUUCGUAGAGCAGUCUAUGAAGCAUUCAUCAGCAUUAUACAUUGUAAG